rnacentral:rRNA from 1 species
GUAAAGCACUUCAGUCGUGAGGAAGGUGGUAGUGUUAAUAGCACUAUCAUUUGACGUUAGCGACAGAAGAAGCACCGGCUAACUCCGUGCCAGCAGCCGCGGUAAUACGGAGGGUGCGAGCGUUAAUCGGAAUUACUGGGCGUAAAGCGCAUGCAGGUGGUUUGUUAAGUUCAGAUGUGAAAGACCCGGGGCGUCAACCUCGGAAUAGCAUUUGUAAACUAGGCAAACUAGAGUACUGUAGAGGGGGGUAGGAAUUUCAGGUGUAGCGGUGAAAUAGCGUAGAGAUCUGAAGGAAUACCGGUGGCGAAGGCGGCCCCCUCGGACAGAUACUGACACUCAGAUGCGAAAGCGUGGGGAGCAAACAGGAUUAGAUACCCUGGUAG